rnacentral:lncRNA from 1 species
CCAACAGAAUGAAACUGAUGAAGAUCUGGAAGGAGUUAACUGAUGAGUGGACAUUAAAACAUUUCUUAUAUUUGCAAGAUGAAGCAGAAAGUCCCAUGCAGGAUGAUGCUUCUCUACAGUGGACGAUGAAGGCAUGCUGGUUUACAAACUCAGGAGAGGAACAAAGAACAGAUAUUGACGGAUCAUAUCUAGAAAUGCGGGCCUACUACACUUCAUACAAGCAAGUGUGCUAAUAUACAUACUUGGGUUAUCAUUACAGCCCUUUCUUCUGAAAACUAGGCUACAACUU